rnacentral:rRNA from 1 species
AAACGACUCUCGGCAACGGAUAUCUCGGCUCACGCAUCGAUGAAGAACGUAGCAAAAUGCGAUACUUGGUGUGAAUUGCAGAAUCCCGUGAACCAUCGAGUUUUUGAACGCAAGUUGCGCCCGAAGCCUUUCGGCUGAGGGCACGUCUGCCUGGGCGUCACACA